ACUGUUUAUCAAAAACACAGGUCUCCGCUAAGUCGUAAGACGAUGUAUGGGGGCUGACGCCUGCCCAGUGCCAGAAGGUUAAAGAAGUUGGUUAGCAUUUGCGAAGCUGAUGACUGAAGCCCUGGUGAACGGCGGCCGUAACUAUAACGGUCCUAAGGUAGCGAAAUUCCUUGUCGGGUAAGUUCCGACCUGCACGAAUGGCGUAACGACUUCCCCGCUGUCUCCAACAUCGACUCAGCGAAAUUGAAUUGCCUGUCAAGAUGCAGGCUUCCCGCGGUUAGACGGAAAGACCCCGUGCACCUUUACUACAGCUUCAGACUGGUAACAGGACUGGGAUGUGCAGGAUAGGUGGUAGGCUUUGAAGCAGGAACGCCAGUUUCUGUGGAGCCAUCCUUGAGAUACCACCCUUCGCAUUCUUGUUAUCUAACCGCGGUCCGUUAUCCGGAUCCGGGACCCUCUGUGGCGGGUAGUUUGACUGGGGCGGUCGCCUCCUAAAGAGUAACGGAGGCGCGCGAAGGUUGGCUCAGAGCGGUCGGAAAUCGCUCGUUGAGUGCAAUGGCAGAAGCCAGCCUGACUGCGAGACUGACAAGUCGAGCAGAGUCGAAAGACGGCCAUAGUGAUCCGGUGGUCCCGAGUGGAAGGGCCAUCGCUCAACGGAUAAAAGGUACGCCGGGGAUAACAGGCUGAUACUGCCCAAGAGUCCAUAUCGACGGCAGUGUUUGGCACCUCGAUGUCGGCUCAUCUCAUCCUGGGGCUGGAGCAGGUCCCAAGGGUACGGCUGUUCGCCGUUUAAAGAGGUACGUGAGCUGGGUUUAGAACGUCGUGAGACAGUUCGGUCCCUAUCUGCCGUGGGUGUAGGAUACUUGAGAGGAGUUGCCCCUAGUACGAGAGGACCGGGGUGAACGAUCCACUGGUGUACCAGUUGUUCCGCCAGGAGCAGUGCUGGGUAGCUAUGAUCGGAAAGGAUAACCGCUGAAGGCAUCUAAGCGGGAAGCCCCCCUCAAAACAAGGUAUCCCUGAGAACCGAGGUAGACCACCUCGUCGAUAGGCCAGAGAUCUAAGCGUGGUAACAC
rnacentral:rRNA from 16 species